GAGUAAGGCCCCAUGUAGAUUACAUGGUUGAUAGGCAGCGUGUGUAAGCGCAGCAAUGCGUUCAGCUUAGCUGUACUAAUAGGCCGAGGGCUUGGCCAU
rnacentral:rRNA from 1 species